rnacentral:lncRNA from 1 species
UUUUGUUGAUGCACAUCAAAGUUGAAAGUACAACAUAAUCAUUAUUCUAUACAAACACCACUAUUUUGGAAUGUGAAAAUAUCAUUUACAAUACAAAUUAAAUUGUAUUUUUAAAACUAAUUACAUGAAUAGUUGUGCAAAAGAAUUCACUUAAAAACGAAUAAAAUUCAUUCUAAUCAAAGUGUUUAAUCCAAUUUCUUCAGAGUUCACACCGCAUGUUGAUACUUUCAUCAAAGUCGUCAUUUGAGAUCCACUUCUGCAACAAUUAAAAUCAGGUGAAUAAAGAUCAAGAUGAAUUGAAGGUAGGA